rnacentral:rRNA from 1 species
GACGAACCGUCCAAACGUUAUUCGGAUUCACUGGGCUUAAAGGGUGCGUAGGCGGCUCAGAAAGUAGGGUGUGAAAGCCCUCGGCUCAACCGAGGAAUUGCGCCCUAAACUACUGGGCUUGAGGAACGCAGAGGUAAGCGGAACUUACGGUGGAGCGGUGAAAUGCGUUGAUAUCGUAAGGAACACCAGGAGCGAAAGCGGCUUACUGGGCGUUUUCUGACGCUGAUGCACGAAAGCUAGGGGAGCGAACGGG